CACGUAGGCGGAUCUUUAAGUCAGAGGUGAAAUCCCAAGGCUCAACCUUGGAACUGCCUUUGAUACUGGGGAUCUAGAGUCCGGGAGAGGUGAGUGGAACUGCGAGUGUAGAGGUGAAAUUCGUAGAUAUUCGCAAGAACACCAGUGGCGAAGGCGGCUCACUGGCCCGGUACUGACGCUGAGGUGCGAAAGCGUGGGGAGCAAACA
rnacentral:rRNA from 1 species